GACCGUGUUUCCAGAGCAUUUUCUGCUUCGCCGCCACCGUUCAUUGUGCCUCCGUGGUUCUCAAUAGUUGAUUCACGUGUGGAAAAUCCAUUGCUAACAAUGGUGAAGACGAAGAGUAAUCUAUUAUAUGUGUUUACAUUUUUUUGGGGCAUCGAUCAACUUUUGAAGGGAAUUCAAAAGUUGAUUUUUGUGUUCAUGUGUUAUUGUUUCUCUGGCUUAUUGUGUCGAUUUAAGCAUGUGGUAGAUGAAUUUGUUAACCACAUCUCCUCCAUUCCCGGCACAUAGAGAAGGGGACGAAUCUAGGGUUUUGGAGAGACGAACCCAUCCCCGGAGCAUAGAGAAGGAGACGAAUCUAGGGCUUUGAAGAUACAAAAUGGAGAAGACGAAUAAUGGGUCUACAGAUAUUCUAUGUGGAUAAGAUUCGUUGGGCAAAUUGCAAUGUGCGUAGGGAUUUUCCACUUUUUAGGAAUUGAAGUAGCAAGCAACUUAGAAAUUGGGAGACAAAUGAAAUUAAUUAUGGUGGAUUUGGUGAUGGUGUGUUGCUGGAACCAAUUCCUUCACCUGAGGUCCCGAGGUCGUCGCCAUCGGCAAAGUUGGAGAAGAUGGUAGAGGUUUAUGUGAAGAAUAGUGAUAAUAUGCUGCAUUUAAUAAACUCAGUUGAUGUUACGCUACUUGAGGAUCAUAUGUUGCAUUUUAUAAACUCAGUUGAUGUUGCGCUACUUGAGGAUGAAUGUUUCAUAUUAUAAACUCAUUUGAUGCUGAAACAUUUGAUUUGUACUGAAUAAAUAAAUCAUUGUUAAUUGUU